UGGGGAAUAUUGCACAAUGGGCGCAAGCCUGAUGCAGCCAUGCCGCGUGUGUGAAGAAGGCCUUCGGGUUGUAAAGCACUUUCAGCGAGGAGGAAGGUGGUGGACUUAAUACGUUCAUCAAUUGACGUUACUCGCGGAAGAAGCACCGGCUAACUCCGUGCCAGCAGCCGCGGUAAUACGGAGGGUGCAAGCGUUAAUCGGAAUUACUGGGCGUAAAGCGCACGCAGGCGGUUUGUUAAGUCAGAUGUGAAAUCCCCGGGCUCAACCUGGGAACUGCAUUUGAAACUGGCAAGCUAGAGUCUCGUAGAGGGGGGUAGAAUUCCAGGUGUAGCGGUGAAAUGCGUAGAGAUCUGGAGGAAUACCGGUGGCGAAGGCGGCCCCCUGGACGAAGACUGACGCUCAGGUGCGAAAGCGUGGGGAGCAAACAGGAUUAGAUACCCCUGGUAGUCCACGCUGUAAACGAUGUCGAUUUUGGAGGUUGUGCCCUUGAGGCGUGGCUUCCGGAGCUAACGCGUUAAAUCGACCGCCUGGGGAGUACGGCCGCAAGGUUAAAACUC
rnacentral:rRNA from 1 species